GUUGUCGUAUUUGGCAACGGCAUUUGUUGAGCAAUUUGAAUAUAACAUCACUUCUUCGAUAUAAAAAGUAUAUAAUGUAAUGUUAAAUGGUACCCGUUCGGGUUGUCCCCGUGAUUGAGCCCCAAAAAUUUUACAUUUAUAACAGAUAGACCCGGUGAUUAGGGUCACUAUUUUAAACGAUUUUUUUAUUAUUGAAUCCGGCCAUUGG